rnacentral:sRNA from 1 species
UCUGCCCAUGCGGGGAAGGAUGAGAAGCUUCGACUAAGGUUCGACUCGAGCGCCAGCGAGAGAGCGUUGCCGCAGGCAACGACCCGAAGGGCGAAGCGCGCAGCGCUGAGUAAUCCUUCCCCCACCACCA